rnacentral:rRNA from 1 species
CCUACGGGAGGCAGCAGUGGGGAAUUUUGGACAAUGGGCGCAAGCCUGAUCCAGCCAUGCCGCGUGCGGGAAGAAGGCCUUCGGGUUGUAAACCGCUUUUGUCAGGGAAGAAAUCCUUUGAGAUAAUACCUCGGAGGGAUGACGGUACCUGAAGAAUAAGCACCGGCUAACUACGUGCCAGCAGCCGCGGUAAUACGUAGGGUGCGAGCGUUAAUCGGAAUUACUGGGCGUAAAGCGUGCGCAGGCGGUCUUGCAAGACAGAUGUGAAAUCCCCGGGCUCAACCUGGGAACUGCAUUUGUGACUGCAAGGCUAGAGUACGGUAGAGGGGGAUGGAAUUCCGCGUGUAGCAGUGAAAUGCGUAGAUAUGCGGAGGAACACCGAUGGCGAAGGCAAUCCCCUGGACCUGUACUGACGCUCAUGCACGAAAGCGUGGGGAGCAAACAGGAUUAGAUCGCCCUGGUAAGUCCACGCCCUAAACGAUGUCACUGUUGUGACGNUGCUGUCAGUACGAGCUAACGCGUGAGUCGACCGCGUGGGGUGUGCGCGAGUUAGUUAGUAGAAGAGUUAGNGGNGNGAGAGNGCGACGGACGACGACGAGGAGGAGG